GGGGUUGUAGCUCAGUGGUAGAGCACUUGCUUCCAAUGCAUGAGGCUCUGGGUUCGGUCCCCAGCACCACG
rnacentral:tRNA from 1 species